rnacentral:piRNA from 1 species
ACAGAUAUUUUUUUUUCCCUUUCAUAG